rnacentral:rRNA from 1 species
AGUUUGAUCCUGGCUCAGAUUGAACGCUGGCGGCAUGCCUUACACAUGCAAGUCGAACGGCAGCACGGGAGCAAUCCUGGUGGCGAGUGGCGAACGGGUGAGUAACAUAUCGGAACGUGCCCAGUCGUGGGGGAUAACGCAGCGAAAGCUGUGCUAAUACCGCAUACGAUCUCUGGAUGAAAGCGGGGGACUCAGCAAUGGGCCUCGCGCGAUUGGAGCGGCCGAUACCAGAUUAGCUAGUUGGUGGGGUAAAAGCUCACCAAGGCGACGAUCUGUAGCUGGUCUGAGAGGACGACCAGCCACACUGGAACUGAGACACGGUCCAGACUCCUACGGGAGGCAGCAGUGGGGAAUUUUGGACAAUGGGCGCAAGCCUGAUCCAGCAAUGCCGCGUGCAGGAUGAAGGCCUUCGGGUUGUAAACUGCUUUUGUACGGAACGAAAAGGUCCUUUCCAAUAAAGGGGCUAAUGACGGUACCGUAAGAAUAAGCACCGGCUAACUACGUGCCAGCAGCCGCGGUAA